GGAGAGAUGGUUGAGUGGACUAAAGCAGCGGAUUGCUAAUCCGUACCGAGAGUUCGAAUCCCUCUCUUUCCG